UCUCGGCUUAUCACCGGCAGUCCCCCUAGAGUGCCCAACUUAAUGAUGGCAACUAGGGGCGAGGGUUGCGCUCGUUGCGGGACUUAACCCAACAUCUCACGACACGAGCUGACGACAGCCAUGCAGCACCUGUGUCCACGCCCCUUGCGGGGAGGAAUCCAUCUCUGGAAGCCGUCGUGGCAUGUCAAGGGCUGGUAAGGUUCUUCGCGUUGCGUCGAAUUGAACCACAUGCUCCACCGCUUGUGCAGGCCCCCGUCAAUUUCUUUGAGUUUUAGCCUUGCGACCGUACUUCCCAGGCGGUCCACUUAGCACUUUUGCUUCGACCAUGACGGCGUUAGAACCGCCACGAUCUAGUGGACAUCGUUUAGGGCCAGGACUAC
rnacentral:misc_RNA from 1 species